ensembl:snRNA U7 U7 small nuclear RNA
AAGUUUUACAGCUCUUUUAGAAUUUGUCUAGUAUGUUUUCUGCUCUUCACCAGAGCACCCCC